rnacentral:rRNA from 1 species
UACGUAGGGUGCAAGCGUUGUCCGGAAUUAUUGGGCGUAAAGAGCUUGUAGGCGGUUUGUCGCGUCUGCUGUGAAAUUUCGGGGCUCAACCCCGAACUUGCAGUGGGUACGGGCAGACUAGAGUGUGGUAGGGGAGACUGGAAUUCCUGGUGUAGCGGUGGAAAUGCGCAGAUAUCAGGAGGAACACCGGUGGCGAAGGCGCUGCUCUGGGCCGGUACUGACGCUGAGGAGCGAAAGCGUGGGUAGCAAACAGG